rnacentral:rRNA from 1 species
AGUGAACGCUGGCGGUAGGCCUAACACAUGCAAGUCGAACGGCAGCACAGUAAGAGCUUGCUCUUACGGGUGGCGAGUGGCGGACGGGUGAGGAAUACAUCGGAAUCUACUUUUUCGUGGGGGAUAACGUAGGGAAACUUACGCUAAUACCGCAUACGACCUACGGGUGAAAGCAGGGGAUCUUCGGACCUUGCGCGAUUGAAUGACCCGAUGUCGGAUUAGCUAGUUGGCGGGGUAAAGGCCCACCAAGGCGACGAUCCGUAGCUGGUCUGAGAGGAUGAUCAGCCACACUGGAAAUGAGACAAGGUCCAGACUCCUACGGGAGGCAGCAGUGGGGAAUAUUGGACAAUGGGCGCAAGCCUGAUCCAGCCAUACCGCGUGGGUGAAGAAGGCCUUCGGGUUGUAAAGCCCUUUUGUUGGGAAAGAAAAGCAGCAGGUUAAUACCCCGCUGUUCUGACGGUACCCAAAGAAUAAGCACCGGCUAACUUCGUG